rnacentral:rRNA from 1 species
AGGGGGAUAACAGUUAGAAAUGACUGCUAAUACCGCAUAAGCGCACAGGACCGCAUGGUUCGGUGUGAAAAACUGAGGUGGUNUAGGAUGGACCCGCGUCUGAUUAGCUUGUUGGUGGGGUAACGGCUCACCAAGGCGACGAUCAGUAGCCGGCCUGAGAGGGCGACCGGNCACAUUGGGACUGANACACGGCCCAAACUCCUACGGGAGGCAGCAGUGGGGAAUAUUGCACAAUGGGGGAAACCCUGAUGCAGCGACGCCGCGUGAGUGAAGAAGUAUUUCGGUAUGUAAAGCUCUAUCAGCAGGAAAGAUAAUGACGGUACCUGACUAAGAAGCCCCGGCUAACUACGUGCCAGCAGCCGCGGUAAUACGUAGGGGGCAAGCGUUAUCCGGAAUUACUGGGUGUAAAGGGUGAGUAGGCGGCAUGGUAAGCCAGAUGUGAAAGCCUUGGGCUUAACCCGAGGAUUGCAUUUGGAACUAUCAAGCUAGAGUACAGGAGAGGAAAGCGGAAUUCCUAGUGUAGCGGUGAAAUGCGUAGAUAUUANGAAGAACACCAGUGGCGAAGGCGGCUUUCUGGACUGAAACUGACGCUGAGGCACGAAAGCGUGGGGAGCGAACAGGAUUAGAUACCCUGGUAGUCCACGCCGUAAACGAUGAGUGCUAGGUGU